GACGAACGCUGGCGGCGUGCCUAAUACAUGCAAGUAGAACGCUGAAGGAGGAGCUUGCUUCUCUGGAUGAGUUGCGAACGGGUGAGUAACGCGUAGGUAACCUGCCUGGUAGCGGGGGAUAACUAUUGGAAACGAUAGCUAAUACCGCAUAAUAGCAGUUAUUGCAUGAUAACUGUUUGAAAGGUGCAAUUGCACCACUACCAGAUGGACCUGCGUUGUAUUAGCUAGUUGGUGGGGUAACGGCUCACCAAGGCGACGAUACAUAGCCGACCUGAGAGGGUGAUCGGCCACACUGGGACUGAGACACGGCCCAGACUCCUACGGGAGGCAGCAGUAGGGAAUCUUCGGCAAUGGACGGAAGUCUGACCGAGCAACGCCGCGUGAGUGAAGAAGGUUUUCGGAUCGUAAAGCUCUGUUGUAAGAGAAGAACGAGUGUGAGAGUGGAAAGUUCACACUGNGACGG
rnacentral:rRNA from 1 species